rnacentral:rRNA from 1 species
AGUGAACGCUGGCGGUAGGCCUAACACAUGCAAGUCGAACGCCAGCACAGUAAGAGCUUGCUCUUACGGGUGGCGAGUGGCGGACGGGUGAGGAAUACAUCGGAAUCUACUUUUUCGUGGGGGAUAACGUAGGGAAACUUACGCUAAUACCGCAUACGACCUACGGGUGAAAGCAGGGGAUCUUCGGACCUUGCGCGAUUGAAUGAGCCGAUGUCGGAUUAGCUAGUUGGCGGGGUAAAGGCCCACCAAGGCGACGAUCCGUAGCUGGUCUGAGAGGAUGAUCAGCCACACUGGAACUGAGACACGGUCCAGACUCCUACGGGAGGCAGCAGUGGGGAAUAUUGGACAAUGGGCGCAAGCCUGAUCCAGCCAUACCGCGUGGGUGAAGAAGGCCUUCGGGUUGUAAAGCCCUUUUGUUGGGAAAGAAAAGCAGCAGGUUAAUACCCCGCUGUUCUGACGGUACCUAAAGAAUAAGCACCGGCUAACUUCGUG